UACGUAGGCAGCGAGCGUUGUUCGGAGUUACUGGGCGUAAAGGGUGUGUAGGCGGUUCUUUUAAGUUUGGUGUGAAAUCUCCCGGCUCAACCGGGAGGGUGCGCCGAAAACUGGGAGGCUAGAGUGCGGGAUGGGAGAGUGGAAUUCCUGGUGUAGCGGUGAAAUGCGUAGAUAUCAGGAGGAACACCGGUGGUGCAGACGGCUCUCUGGACCGUAACUGACGCUGAGACACGAAAGCGUGGGUAGCAAACAGG
rnacentral:rRNA from 1 species